rnacentral:rRNA from 1 species
UACGGGAUAAUAUAUUUGAGAGGCAUCUCUUGAAUAUCAAAGGUGAGCCAGUACAGGAUGGACCCGCGUCUGAUUAGCUAGUUGGUAAGGUAACGGCUUACCAAGGCGACGAUCAGUAGCCGACCUGGGAGGGUGAUCGGCCACAUUGGAACUGAGACACGGUCCAAACUCCUACGGGAGGCAGCCGUGGGGAAUAUUGCACAAUGGGCGAAAGCCUGAUGCAGCAACGCCGCGUGAGUGAUGAAGGCCUUCGGG